GUCCUGUUCAGCUGACGGAUAUACACCUUGUCACCGGGCUGGUAUGAAUGAGUAGGUUCCUGUGAAGGUAAGGGAAAACUGCGAAGAAACAUUGUCAUACAUACCAUUCGGUUUUUAUCAACAAUUCACCUUGUGGGGAUAUAUUCUUAUCUCAGCUAAAAUAGCUGGUAGAUAUCUUGUCCAAUUUACCCAUGUUCCUGGGUAAAUUCUGGGCUUUUCCUUAAUAGUCCUAUUCAUCCUUUCAACUACCCCUGUAUUCUGUGGAUGAUAGGGUAUAUGAAACUGCCAGGUAAUUUGCAAGAAUUUAGCAAGUUCCUGGGCAACCCCACUUGCAAAAACCGGGCCAUUAUCAGAGCCAAUCUACAGAGGGCAGCAAUACCGGGGAAUAAUUUCAGUAACAAUAAUCUUCACUAGCAUCUUCCCUAGAUGUCACAAAGGCAUCAUGCCAUCUACUAAACUGAUCAACUAUGACCAGUAAGUAUUGCUGUUUCUUACCAAUUUUGGAUACAUGAAUAAAAUCAAU